rnacentral:rRNA from 1 species
UACGUAGGGUGCGAGCGUUAAUCGGAAUUACUGGGCGUAAAGCGUGCGCAGGCGGUUCGCUGUGUCCUGUGUGAAAGCCCCGGGCUUAACCUGGGAAUGGCAUGGGAAACUGGCGAGCUUGAGUGCGGCAGAGGGGGUGGAAUUCCGCGUGUAGCAGUGAAAUGCGUAGAUAUCAAGUGGAACACCAGUGGCGAAGGCGAGUCCCUGGACGACUCCUGACACUGAGGCACGAAAGCUAGGGGAGCAAACAGG